UACAGAGGGUGCAAGCGUUAUUCGGAAUUAUUGGGCGUAAAGGGCGCGUAGGCGGCGAUUCAAGUGACGGGUGAAAUCCCUCGGCUUAACCGAGGAACUGCCUGUCAGACUGGAUUGCUUGAGGCCGGGAGAGGCGAGUGGAAUUCCCAGUGUAGCGGUGAAAUGCGUAGAUAUUGGGAGGAACACCAGUGGCGAAGGCGGCUCGCUGGACCGGUUCUGACGCUGAGGCGCGAAAGCGUGGGGAGCAAACAGG
rnacentral:rRNA from 1 species